rnacentral:rRNA from 1 species
CCGCGGUAAGACGUAGGAUGCAAGCGUUGUCCGGAUUUAUUGGGCGUAAAGAGUUCGUAGGCGGUUUGUUAAGUCUGAUGUUAAAGACCGGGGCUCAACCUCGGAAAUGCAUUGGAUACUGGCAGACUGGAGUGCAGUAGAGGCUAGUGGAAUUCCCAGUGUAGCGGUGAAAUGCGUAGAUAUUGGGAAGAACACCGGUGGCGUAGGCGACUAGCUGGGCUGUAACUGACGCUGAGGAACGAAAGCCAGG